GAUGAACGCUAGCGGCAGGCUUAAUACAUGCAAGUUGAGGGGCAGCACGAUAUACGCAAGUAUAUUGAUGGCGACCGGCGGACGGGUGAGUAAAAGGUAGGAGACCUACCUCAUACAGGGGGAUAGCAUAGAGAAAUCUGUGGUAAUACCCCAUGAGGUUAUAUGAAUAGAGGCAUAUAAUCAAAGUAUACGAGAGUAUGCGGUAUGAGAUGGGCCUACUGACCAUUAGCUAGUUGGUGAGGUAAGGGCUCACCAAGGCGAAGAUGGUUAGGGGUUUUGAGAGAGAGAUCCCCCACAUUGGAACUGAGAUACGGUCCAGACUCCUACGGGAGGCAGCAGUAGGGAAUAUUGGGCAAUGGGCGAAAGCCUGACCCGGCCAUGCCGCGUGAAGGAAGACGGCCUUAUGGGUUGUAAACUUCUUUACUAUACGAAUAGAGGUUAGUACGAGUUACUAAUAGGAAGGUAGUAUAGCAAAAAGCACCGGCUAACUCCGUGCC
rnacentral:rRNA from 1 species